rnacentral:rRNA from 1 species
UACGAAGGGGGCUAGCGUUGCUCGGAAUCACUGGGCGUAAAGCGCACGUAGGCGGCCUACUAAGUCAGGGGCGAAAUCCUGGAGCUCAACUCCAGAACUGCCUUUGAUACUGGUUGGCUUGAGUCCGGGAGAGGUGAGUGGAACUGCGAGUGUAGAGGUGAAAUUCGUAGAUAUUCGCAAGAACACCGGUGGCGAAGGCGGCUCUCUGGACCACAACUGACGCUGAGGCGCGAAAGCUAGGGGAGCAAACAGG